UACGUAGGGUGCAAGCGUUGUCCGGAAUUAUUGGGCGUAAAGAGCUCGUAGGCGGCUUGUCACGUCGACUGUGAAAACCCGGGGCUCAACUCCGGGCCUGCAGUCGAUACGGGCUGGCUUGAGUGCGGUAGGGGAGACUGGAAUUCCUGGUGUAGCGGUGAAAUGCGCAGAUAUCAGGAGGAACACCGAUGGCGAAGGCAGGUCUCUGGGCAUUAACUGACGCUGAUGCGCGAAAGCUAGGGGAGCAAACGGG
rnacentral:rRNA from 1 species